AUGUAAGGGCGUAUGGGGGAUGCCUAGGCUCUCAGAGGCGAAGAAGGACGUGAUAAGCUGCGAAAAGCUGCGGGGAUUGGCACAUACGAAUAGAUCCGCAGAUAUCCGAAUGGGGCAACCCACUAGUUUGAAGGACUAGUAUCCUUAUAAAGGAGGCGAACCCGCUGAACUGAAACAUCUAAGUAGGCGGAGGAGAAGAAAACAAAAGUGAUUCCGAGAGUAGUGGCGAGCGAAAUUGGAACAGCCCAAACCCAUGUUGUUACGGCAAUAUGGGGGUUGUAGGACCCGAUGUUGGUUGUUAAAUGGAACCGGAAGUAUUUGGAAAGAUACGCCAUAGAGUGUGAUAGUCACGUAUGGGUAACGUUUAAUAAAUCAUAGGGAAAUCCUGAGUAGGGCGGGGCACGUGGAACCCUGUCUGAAUCUGCCGGGACCAUCCGGUAAGGCUAAAUACUCCUGAGAGACCGAUAGUGAACCAGUACCGUGAGGGAAAGGUGAAAAGAACCGUGAAUAACGGAGUGAAAUAGACCCUGAAACCAUACGCUUACAAGCGGUCGGAGCCCUUUUGGGUGACGGCGUGCCUUUUGCAUAAUGAGCCUACGAGUUACUUUUACCAGCGAGGAUAAGUAUUUCAGAUACGAAUUCGUAGCGAAAGCGAGUCUUAAUAGGGCGAUAUAGUUGGUAGUAGUAGACGCGAAACCUGGUGAUCUACCCAUGGGCAGGUUGAAGCGCUGGUAACACAGCGUGGAGGACCGAACCGGUUGUCGUUGAAAAGACUUCGGAUGACCUGUGGGUAGGGGUGAAAGGCCAAUCAAACUGGGAAAUAGCUCGUACUCCCCGAAAUGUAUUUAGGUACAGCGUCGUAUAUAGUUUAUUAGAGGUAGAGCUACUGAUUGGAUGCGGGGGUUUCACCGCCUACCAAUUCCUGACAAACUCCGAAUGCUAAUAAAUGUUUUGCGGCAGUGAGGGCAUGGGUGCUAAGGUCCAUGUCCGAGAGGGAAAGAACCCGGACCAUCAGCUAAGGUCCCCAAAUAUAUGCUAAGUUGACCAAACGCGGUCUGACUGCACUGACAGCUAGGAUGUUGGCUUGGAAGCAGCCAUACAUUUAAAGAGUGCGUAACAGCUCACUAGUCGAGCGGUCGGGCAUGGAUAAUACUCGGGCAUAAGCAUAUUACCGAAGCUAUGGACUUAAUAAAUUAAGUGGUAGGGGAGCAUUCUAAUGGCGUUGAAGGUGAACUGUGAGGUUUGCUGGAGCGAUUAGAAAAGAAAAUGUAGGCAUAAGUAACGAUAAGGCAGGCGAGAAACCUGCCCGCCGAAAGAUCAAGGUUUCCUCAGCUAUGCUAAUCAGCUGAGGGUUAGUCGGGGCCUAACGCGAAUCCGAAUUGGAGUAGUGGAUGGACCACAGGUUAAUAUUCCUGUACUUUCAUAACGAUAGAAGUGACGGAAUGAGGUAAGCUCUGCGUACUGACGGAAUAGUACGUUGAAGGUGCUGUUAUGGCAUUGAUAGUACACUAAGGCUUCGGCUGCGGUGAUAAUGAGCAGAUAACGUUUCCAAGAAAAGCGAGUUAUGAAACCCGUACCGUAAACCGACACAGGUGAUUGGGAUGAGAAUUCUAAGGCGCUCGAGAGAUUCAUGGCUAAGGAACUAGGCAAAAUAGACCUGUAACUUCGGGAGAAAGGUCGCCUCCCUCCGGGGAGGCCGCAGUGAAAAGGUCCAGGCGACUGUUUAUCAAAAACACAGGACUCUGCUAAAUUGAAAGAUGACGUAUAGGGUCUGACACCUGCCCGGUGCUGGAAGGUUAAGAGGAGAUGUUAGUUUCGGCGAAGCAUUGAAUUGAAGCCCCAGUAAACGGCGGCCGUAACUAUAACGGUCCUAAGGUAGCGAAAUUCCUUGUCGGGUAAGUUCCGACCUGCACGAAUGGUGUAACGAUCUGGACACUGUCUCAGCCAUGAGCUCGGUGAAAUUGUAGUAUCGGUGAAGAUGCCGAUUACCCGCAGUGGGACGAAAAGACCCUGUGCACCUUUACUAUAUCUUCGUAUUGGUCUUGGAUAAGUGAUGCGUAGGAUAGGUGGGAGACUUAGAAGCGGCUAUUCCGGUAGUUGUGGAGUCGUUGUUGAAAUACCACCCUUUGCUUAUCUGAGGUCUAACUCCGCAUAGAGUGGAGGACAAUUCGUGGAGGGUAGUUUGACUGGGGUGGUCGCCUCCAAAAGCGUAACGGAGGCUUCUAAAGGUUCCCUCAGCACGCUUGGUAACCGUGCGUAGAGUGCAAUGGUAUAAGGGAGCUUGACUGAGAGACUAACAAGUCGAUCAGGUACGAAAGUAGAGCAUAGUGAUCCGGUGGUUCCGUAUGGAAGGGCCAUCGCUCAAAGGAUAAAAGGUACGCCGGGGAUAACAGGCUGAUCUCCCCCAAGAGCUCACAUCGACGGGGGGGUUUGGCACCUCGAUGUCGGCUCGUCACAUCCUGGGGCUGGAGAAGGUCCCAAGGGUUGGGCUGUUCGCCCAUUAAAGUGGCACGCGAGCUGGGUUCAGAACGUCGUGAGACAGUUCGGUCUCUAUCUACUGUGGGCGUUAGAAAUUUGCGUGGUGCUGACUCUAGUACGAGAGGACCGAGUUGGACCAACCUCUGGUGUAUCAGUUGUUCCGCCAGGAGCAUGGCUGAGUAGCUACGUUGGGAAGGGAUAAGUGCUGAAAGCAUAUAAGUACGAAACCCGCCACAAGAUGAGAUUUCUUUUAAGGGUCGUGGGAGAUGACCACGUUGAUAGGUUACAGGUGUAACGGCAGUAAUGUCAUAGCCGAGUAAUACUAAUAACCCGUAGACUUA
rnacentral:rRNA from 1 species